UCUAUGGAUUUACCUCUUCUAGAUGUUUCAUCUAAAUGGAAUCAUAUAUUUGCGACCUUUGUGUCUGGCUUCCUUCAUUGACAUAAUGCUUUCAAGGUUCAUCCACGUUGUAGCACGUAUCAGUACUUAAUUCCCUUUGAUGGCUGAAUAAUAUUCCAUUUUAUGUCUGCCACACAUUUUGUUUAUCCAUUCAUUUGUCAAUGAACAUGUAGAUUGUUUCUACCUUUUGGCUAUUGUGAAUAAUGCUCCAAUAAACAGUUGUGCACAAGUAUCUGUUUGAAUUCCUGUUUUCAAUUCUUAUAUGCAUAGGAGUGGAAUUGCAGGGUCAUUUAGGAAUUCAAUGUUUAGCUUUUUGAUGAAUCACUAAACUAUUUUCCACAAUGGCUGUACCAUUUUACAUUUCCACCAACAACAUGCGGGGGUUGCAAUUUGUCCACAUCCUCGCCAACUUAUUUUGUUUUUGUUUGUUUGCUUUGUGUGUGUGUACAUAUAUAUAUAUAUAUAGCCACUACUCCCUUGGUUCGUCUCAGGGAGUAUGCUCCACCUACAGCGGCAGCUUCAGGGAUGGCCAGCAGCACAAUGUGGGAAGAGCACAGGCUUUGGACUCAGACCGAGGUGGGGUUCAAAUCCAGAUCUCCCUCUUCCCAGGAAGGUAGCCUUGGGCAGGUGAUAAUCUCUGCAAAUCUUGGUUUCUCCAUCCAUACAACAGCAAUAAUAUACUGGGGUGAAGAGAUGAGUGAAGCUCCUGGCACAUGCCUGGCAGACAGUAGGCUGAACAAAUGCUCUUCCUCCUCAAUUAUGGAUAGAAACAGAGAGGAAGAGAUGGAUUUUAAACAAUCUGCUUUUAAAUUAUUGUUACUACUAUUUUUGGUAUUGGACCUCAUUAUAGAAAGUUUUUUUUUUUUUUUUUUUUGCCAUGGGCUUCUCUGCAAAAUCAUGCCUGAUUAAAUUAAUACCCAAAUUGCAAUAUGUUUAUUCUUUAGCCCAGUUUAUGGGGUUAAGGGAGAUGGAUCUGCAUGGUAAAUUGGGAAGAUUUACUGAGCUAACCAUUGAACUAGAGAUUCCCAGGUGGAUGACCCACCUUUGCUUUUCCAUCGUGUCCAUAUUUCAGGGUGGACUUGAAGUAGUCAUUGUUCCUCAAGUUCCUUCAAGAACAUGGACUUCUUAUUCAUCCUAGAAAACAAAAACCUCUUGGCCACAAACUGCUUUGUUAGUUUUGUAUACACUGUGUUACUUGUGAUGGAAGCACACAUUCCCUAUGUAAAACUUCAGCCACAUCUUUCAAAUAACACUAACAAGUUCCAGUGAUGUCGUAUUCAUGCUGAAUUAUUCUUUUCUUGGUCCCAAGCAAAGUAGGUUUUCACGUAGUGAGUGCUGAGGAUACCUCCCCUUAGGGUUGGCGCCCAUGGUAGUGAGGGCUUUGGACCAAUGCCACAUGACUACAGGUGGCUCAAGCUGGAAUUUCUGUUCACUGAAUGUGGUGAAUAAUGAGGGAGGGAAAGAGCAAAGCAGUAGCCGGGAGAGUGUUUACACUCAGUGCCCCAGUUAGCUCAGAGCAUGGUAGGCCAAGAAGACACUUGGGCAGGCUCAUAAUUUUAUGUGCCUUCAAAUUGAUAUUUGUUAUGUAAGUAUUCAAUAUUUAUUUAGCAGAGAAACUAACCUUUGUGUUGGGGAAGCGGAGGAGGAAGAAAACUGUUGUAGAGGUGGCUCAGGGACCCUGGCAAGCCUCUUUAGCAGUUCAGAGACUCUUUGUUUAUCUCUGAUCUUGUCCUUAUGGGAGCUUUACCUCCUCACACCUGGCUUUUUAUAGUGCUCUUCUCGAUCAUGUAUAGUGAGUGCUCACCCUGAAAAUCUCAUUUUUCCAUCUUGUUACUUUUCCAGUGAUCUCCUGGGGACUUUAUAGAUUGGCUACCAGGAAACCGAGUGGUUGGCUUACCCCCUAAUUCAUCUCUGGCUGAGAGUUUUCUAAAAGAUAUUUUAAAUUAGGCCGGGUGUGGUGGCUCACGCCUGUAAUCCCAGCACUUUGGGAGGCCGAGGCAAGUGGAUCACCUGAGGUCAGGAGUUCGAAACCAGCCUGGCCAACAUGGUGAAACCCCGUCUCUACGAAAAAUAUAAAAAUUAGCCAGGCGUGGUGGCACGUGCCUGUAAUCCCAGCUACUCAGGAGGCUGAAGCAGGAGAAUCACUUGAACCCUGGAGGUGGAGGUUCCAGUGAGCCAAGAUUGCGCCACUGCACUCCAGUCUGGGCGACAAGAACAAAACUCCGUCUCAAAAAAAAAAAAAAAAAUUAAAUUAAAUGCUUGCUUUUUGGCAGGCGCUGUGGCCCUUGUAAGUAUCACCUCAUUUAAUCCUCAUAACAUCUUACAGGGUAGGUAGCAGUAUUACCCCCUUCUUACAGAUGAGAAGACCAAGGCACAGAGAGGCUAAAGUAUCUUGCUUAAAGUGACAGCUGGGAAGUGGCAGAAGUACUCCCAAAUGGCUAAUAGAAAUUAGCCAUUUUAUGUGAACAAUUCAGUUCAAAUGGAGCAUUUUAUCCCAGAACUUUACCGUUAAUGCCUGCAUUUGGCUUGGGCAAAAUAG
rnacentral:lncRNA from 1 species